rnacentral:rRNA from 1 species
GGCAGACGGGUGAGUAACACGUGGGUAACCUACCCGGAGGUGGGGGAUAACCCUUCGAAAGGAGGGCUAAUACCGCAUGACAUCGCGAGGACCUCGGUCUUUGCGAUCAAAGCUGGCCUCUGUUUACAUGCUAGCUCCACCGGAUGGGCCCGCGCCCCAUUAGCUAGUUGGUGAGGUAACGGCUCACCAAGGCAACGAUGGGUAGCCGGCCUGAGAGGGCGACCGGCCACACUGGAACUGCGACACGGUCCAGACUCCUACGGGAGGCAGCAGUGAGGAAUCUUGCGCAAUGGGCGAAAGCCUGACGCAGCGACGCCGCGUGAAGGAUGAAGGUCUUCGGAUUGUAAACUUCUGUCGAGUGGGACGAAUGCCAUGAGGGCGAAUAACCCUUGUGGUUGACGGUACCGCUGGAGGAAGCCCCGGCUAACUCCGUGCCAGCAGCCGCGGUAAUACGGAGGGGGCCAGCGUUGUUCGGAAUCAUUGGGCGUAAAGGGCGCGUAGGCGGCCGAUCAAGUCGGAGGUGAAAUCCCUC